rnacentral:rRNA from 1 species
UACGUAGGGGGCUAGCGUUGUCCGGAAUCAUUGGGCGUAAAGAGCGUGUAGGCGGCCCGGUAAGUCCGCUGUGAAAGUCGGGGGCUCAACCCUCGAAUGCCGGUGGAUACUGUCGGGCUAGAGUCCGGAAGAGGCGAGUGGAAUUCCUGGUGUAGCGGUGAAAUGCGCAGAUAUCAGGAGGAACACCAAUUGCGAAGGCAGCUCGCUGGGACGUUACUGACGCUGAGACGCGAAAGCGUGGGGAGCAAACAGG